rnacentral:rRNA from 1 species
AACGAUGUCGAUUUGGAGGUUGUUCCUUUGAGGAGUGGCUUCCGGAGCUACGCGUUAAAUCGACCGCCUGGGGGGUACGCCGCAAGUUUAAACUCAAAUGAAUUGACGGGGGCCGCACAAGCGGUGGAGCAUGUGGUUUAAUUCGAUGCAACGAGAAGAACCUUACCUACUCUUGACAUCCAGAGAAUUUAGCAGAGAUGCUUUAGUGCCUUCGGGAACUCUGAGACAGGUACUGCAUGGCUGUCGUCAGCUCGUGUUGUGAAAUGUUGGGUUAAGUCCCGCAACGAGCGCAACCCUUAUCCUUUGUUGCCAGCACAUUAUGGUGGGAACUCAAAGGAGACUGCCGGUGAUAAACCGGAGGAAGGUGGGGAUGACGUCAAGUCAUCAUGGCCCUUACGAGUAGGGCUACACACGUGCUACAAUGGCGUAUACAAAGAGAAGCGACCUCGCGAGAGCAAGCGGAACUCAUAAAGUACGUCGUAGUCCGGAUUGGAGUCUGCAACUCGACUCCAUGAAGUCGGAAUCGCUAGUAAUCGUAGAUCAGAAUGCUACGGUGAAUACGUUCCCGGGCCUUGUACACACCGCCCGUCACACCAUGGGAGUGGGUUGCAAAAGAAGUAGGUAGCUUAACCUUCGGGAGGGCGCUUACCACUUUGUGAUUCAUGACUGGGGUGAAGUCGUAACAAGGUAACCA